GUCCACGCCCUAAACGAUGGCAACUGGGUGUUGGGGAAGUGAUUCCUUGGUACCGUAGCUAACGCGUGAAGUUGCCCGCCUGGGGAGUACGGCCGCAAGGUUAAAACUCAAAGGAAUUGACGGGGACCCGCACAAGCGGUGGAUGAUGUGGAUUAAUUCGAUGCAACGCGAACAACCUUACCUACCCUUGACAUGUCUGGAACCCUGCUGAGAGGUGGGGGUGCCCGAAAGGGAAUCGGAACACAGGUGCUGCAUGGCUGUCGU
rnacentral:rRNA from 1 species